GAGGAAUUAAAAAAAAAAAAAAAAGGGCUGAGCUCACUUUUACGCUGAUCUUUAGGAUGAAAAAAAAAAUCGCAGUCGCCUAAAGUCCCCGGGAAAUUGCUACUGUUGGGGGAAAACGAAACAUUUCUCUUGCAAACAAGAAAAUGGAAGAAAAAAAAAUCUAUUGAACUUUCUAACAGACGAUUUACAGAGGGAAGUGCAGAUGCCUUCAUGUGCGUUGGCUUCUUUCGGGGUCACAAUCUAUCCCAGAAAGCUGGAACCCGCAACUUUAUGAAGUGUAACAUUUCCAAACAUAACGCAUCAAAUCGAAGGCUGAGCACACUCCAUCUACAAAGGCUCAGCAUACGAGGCUCAGCCCUAAGCUCGCUCUUUCCAGCAGUUUUAAACUAAGGUACCAAUUAUUUAUAAGUCACAUAAUUAGAUAACCAUCACUCCUGAACUUUCCAUCAGCUAAGAAUGUUUUAUCUUUCACCACUGGACACUGCUUAGUGCCCUUCUUUGGUAUACAUUUUCCUGCUCACUUCAUUCCCCUACACCAAAACUCCACCAGUUGCCCGAGACACCCCUCCCGUCCCCUGGCCCGAGCGGAGACAGCAGCUGAGCCGACAAAGGACCCCUGGAAUUAACUGCUGGCUAUGGGAACGGCCAAAGAGGAUCAGUGAGGAAGUUUAGCAAACUUGGAACAGCCGCCUCUUAGAAACCAGCGUGUUUUACCCGGGCUUUAACCUUGUUCUCUCCCGAGCAGCGUGUUGAUGUUUCGCCACUUGCUCCCUGCAAACAAGGCAAGGAGCGGCGUGCGCCGAGGUGCCCGUGUGUGGCUGCUCUCCCUCGCUGUUCGCACCGGUUCACUGCU